rnacentral:misc_RNA from 1 species
GCCAAGGAUAAUUAGAAAAUUAUGAAAUUUUUAGCAUGCUAAAACCAAUUCCUUGUGACGAUCAAAAGCUAUUACUUCAGACAUAUUUAAGGCUCAAGAAAGAGAGGAAAAAAAAACCUAUGCUCUUUUAACUAUAAAAGGUUUCUUUGCUUGCCUAGUAACUCAAUAUCAAACUCACAUUUGCCAACAGAAAUUCAAAAAUUAAAUAACUCAGUACCAAACAUAAGCAACCAGUUUCAUGAGUUAAUAAUUAACAAGAACUCAACUCUUAAGUUUCAAUAGAGGUAGGCACACCAAAACAGAGAUGCUAAAUUUUCAGCUUGGUUAACUAUAUAUAAGCACAUU